UGGGAAAUAAUAAUAGAAAAAAUAAAUAAUAAUAAAUAAUUAGAAAUAAUUAGUCCCUAGAAAUAUUUUUCUAGGGACUCUAGUUUCUACUUUUAGAUUCAGCAAAUAGGGUCAAAAAGUAGGCACAAAAGAGAAGAUGGUACAAAUAUUUAGAUUAUUGUUGUUAUAUACAUCGUCAAUUUCACUUAUAUUUUACUAAAAAAAUGAACUAUAACAUGAUUUUGACAAUGAUGACUUUCUCGAGGUCUUUAUAUACUAAACCCAAGUUUAACGUGAAAUCAUAUUAAAAAAGUGUACCCUUGUGCGAAUACAGUAAUUAAGUAACGCAAUAUAAAGAAAGCUUAUGUAACAAUAACACAUAAAUGGUACAAUGUCUACUCACUCACAGGAUAUAGUAAAUGUAAAUAUGCAGGAGAUAAUGCAACUGGUGGAGCUUCUUCGCCAGAAUGGUGACAUGAUCCUGAAUGCCGCAAGCAAGCUUUCCCUAUCAACAAACUUGCUACACAGCCUCAAUGAAGCAUUCUCCCUGAUUGUAUUGGAAUCUGAGGAUUUGGAGUCUUCAUUUCACGUUUGCAAUAGUUCCAAGAUAGAUAUAUUUCGUGAUAUCAAAUUCUUACACGACUUUGUGCAGAAAACUAUCAGUUUGAAGGUGACU